rnacentral:rRNA from 1 species
UACGUAGGCAGCAAGCGUUGUUCGGAGUUACUGGGCGUAAAGGGUGUGUAGGCGGUUCCCUAAGUUUGGUGUGAAAGUCUCCCGGCUCAACCGGGAGGGUGCGCCGAAAACUGGAGGACUGGAGUGCGGGAGAGGAGAGUGGAAUUCCUGGUGUAGCGGUGAAAUGCGCAGAUAUCAGGAAGAACACCGAUGGCGAAGGCAGCUCUCUGGGACGGUACUGGACGCU